AUUGAACGCUGGCGGCAUGCUUUACACAUGCAAGUCGAACGGCAGCGCGGGCUUCGGCCUGGCGGCGAGUGGCGAACGGGUGAGUAAUGCAUCGGAACGUGCCCAGUAGUGGGGGAUAGCCCGGCGAAAGCCGGAUUAAUACCGCAUACGACCUGAGGGUGAAAGCGGGGGACCGAAAGGCCUCGCGCUAUUGGAGCGGCCGAUGUCGGAUUAGCUAGUUGGUGGGGUAAAGGCUUACCAAGGCGACGAUCCGUAGCUGGUCUGAGAGGACGACCAGCCAAACUGGAACUGAGACACGGCCCAGACUCCUACGGGAGGCAGCAGUGGGGAAUUUUGGACAAUGGGGGCAACCCUGAUCCAGCCAUGCCGCGUGCGGGAAGAAGGCCUUCGGGUUGUAAACCGCUUUUGUUCGGAAGAAAUCCUCUGGGCUAAUACCCCGGGGGGAUGACGGUACCGGAAGAAUAAGCACCGGCUAACUACGUG
rnacentral:rRNA from 1 species